rnacentral:rRNA from 1 species
CUACGGGGGGCUCCAGUGGGGAAUAUUGCACAAUGGGCGCAAGCCUGAUGCAGCCAUGCCGCGUGUAUGAAGAAGGCCUUCGGGUUGUAAAGUACUUUCAGCGGGGAGGAAGGGAGUAAAGUUAAUACCUUUGCUCAUUGACGUUACCCGCAGAAGAAGCACCGGCUAACUCCGUGCCAGCAGCCGCGGUAAUACGGAGGGUGCAACGGUUAAUCGGAAUUACUGGGCGUAAAGCGCACGCAGGCGGUUUGUUAAGUCAGAUGUGAAAUCCCCGGGCUCAACCUGGGAACUGCAUCUGAUACUGGCAAGCUUGAGUCUCGUAGAGGGGGGUAGAAUUCCAGGUGUAGCGGUGAAAUGCGUAGAGAUCUGGAGGAAUACCGGUGGCGAAGGCGGCCCCCUGGACGAAGACUGACGCUCAGGUGCGAAAGCGUGGGGAGCAAACAGGAUUAGAUACCCCAGUAGUC